UGGUUCUGGCAUCGAUGAAGAACGCAGCGAAAUGCGAUACGUAAUGUGAAUUGCAGAAUUCCGUGAAUCAUCGAAUCUUUGAACGCACAUUGCGCCCGCCAGCAUUCUGGCGGGCAUGCCUGUUCGAGCGUCAUUUCAACCCUCGACGUCCCCCGGGACGUCGGCCUUGGGGACCGGCAGCACCCCGCCGGCCCUGAAAUGGAGUGGCGGCCCGUCCGCGGCGACCUCUGCGCAGUACAAGCACUCGCACCGGGAACCCGACGCGGCCCGCCGUGAAACCCCCAACCUCUGAACGUUGACCUCGGAUCAGGUAGGACUACCCGCUGA
rnacentral:misc_RNA from 1 species